CCUGUAAAUUUCGACAUACUAAAACGCUGUUUUCUGACUAUCAGAAUUCUGUUAAAUCUUCCCCCAAAGUCCAGGAAAUGGCAUUUUAGGGACUCUAAAUUUAAAAAUUUCCUCGGGCCUUCGGCCCUCGCUUUCAGCCCCCCCAAUCGAAAGGAGCUUCCUACGGCCCUGAUCUAUCAGCAUUGUCAAAUAUGGCAACGAAAUUCCUUUUUUAUGGCAUGAUACUUUUUCUAGUUGAGUCAUAGUAGUAAAUUAUGCACUAUGGCCCUCUAUUUCAGAGGAGUGCCAAAGACCCAAUAAAAGCUAUUCAGUUUCUUGUAGAGGCAAACUGGGAGCCCAUGUGCAUCUGCGGCAAAAUAAUGAUAAGAAAUUUCGUGCCCUGCAUGUUGCAGCAGCAAACCUCGGUCACAGAGGUGAAAAGAGCAUGCAAAUCACCAGCCAACAAACACCAACACUUUUAAAGAAGAUGUCCACUCCGUUCUGCGCAUCAGUUCUGCUUGUAACAAAGGGGGACCCCCAGAUAUAAACAUUGCCCAAAUUUUGCAUCUCUCGAACUUUUUUGAAUUGAAACGUAUAGUUUAUAUUCAUUUACAAGUAUAGCGAACCAGAAAAGUGUUAGUUUAUAAUAUAAAUAUAGUAUUUUAAAUAGUAUACGUUUUCAUAGUUUACAUGUUCUCACAUCAUGAUCUGUGGUUAUGUCAAGGACUUAAGAUAUAACUGUGAGACGGUGACAUCCCAGAUGCAUCCAAGUCUCGAGGUUUGAGUAUAUAAGUAUAUAUUCUCUAAAUUCUCUUAUGUAUCAAUAUUGACCCAUUGCAGCAGUUCGUGACUUCGUGUGUAAUAUUGGGAUAUGAGCAUGGUAUCCUUUAGCAUCCAUCUCCGUCGCCACUUGGAUUAGACACAAGACUCUCGACUUUGAAUUACUAGAACUGAAAAUAACUGCUAAAAGACAAAACCCUGCCGGAAAAGGACAAAAGUUGCCUGAAGCUAGACUGCGAGCGGUCUCCUUUCCGCGUGUUUAGAUUUCCAGGCAUGCGAAAGGAAAGGAGGGACUGCAGACCGACACAUCAAGAAAUGAAAUACGCGUUCCCCAUGACACAACGCAAAAUUCCCAAUUGGCGAAAUCGAUAUGCUUGUCAAUCAAAUCUGAUAUGUAGUAAUUAUGCUAUAAAUAAUUUCCAUAGUGAAUGUCGAUGUUGUAACUGGACUAUAACGGUUCCUAUAGGAUAAAUUUAGUUGUGACAGAUUUAAUGUUUACGCAAAGGCGAAGCCAACUUGACAAGAGCGAAAAGUGGGCAUAUUUCGUUUCUUGAUGUGUUGUCGGUGGUGCCUCCUUUCUCCCAUGGGACUGCUCGCGGUCGUUUACCUGAAGCAGUCAAAAGUUGCUGAAAAGUUGCCGAGCAUCUAACUGUCAUCAUCUUGUGUCUAAGUCUAGUCCCCACAAUCGCCCCCUCCCCCACAAU